CUUUUAUACAUAGUUUGCUUACAUUAGCCAUGGUAUAUGCCAUUACAGUACAGACUAUAAGAUUUAUUACUUCCUUGUAUUACGUUAUUCUGACAAUGGAAAGAUAAGCUUUUGCAUACGUCUGGAAAAGAAUAUCCUUAAAAUCGGAAUGGGCAAGACAUCCUGAAAUUUAGCAUUGUCUUACAUCCUAUAGAAGAAAUACCUUAGUCUGUCACAGUCAACAUAUGAUUGUCGUAUAUUGAGUUUAAGUAUUCAAUAUUCCUUCAGUCAGCAAUAAUCAUGUUAUAAACCUUAUAAAAGCAUAAAAUACAUAUAAACAAGUUAACUAUUUAAUAUUCUUACAUUCCCCUCUUUGAGCAAUAAAACAAUUGCUCAUCUUAUCGAUAAAAUCUUACCAGGACAGAGAAACCUCCACAUGGUAUUUUCAGGGGUGCUAGUCACUCCCUGCGGGACUUUCAUUAAUUUCUUCACCUCGAUUCCCAUGUGGUAAUUCCUAAGGCCCAGUUUAAAGAUGGGUUGAUACUCUACAGUGGCAGAGAGGAGAAUUUCUAAUUGUUUCUGUUCUGCAUUAUGGAUUCAUUUCUGUACUCACUUCCUCAAUGUACAAGUAAGGUGACAGUUAUAUAAAAUCAUACACAAUAAAAUCAGGACUAUAAUAACAAAAGGAUAGAAGAAUGAUUUCAUUAUCUGAGAUCCAGUAGGGGACCAACCAGUGAAGCAUCGUACCAAUUAUGGGCUGAAUCAUUCUGAAUUUGUGAACUCACCUUAAGGAGUUCUCCUUUUAGGAUAUGUGUGGCUACCUGUGUGUGUUAUCUUUGGGAAAAAUAUAGUCCCCUGUGUAUGUGGGUGCCCACCAGGUUAAAUUCUUGGCAAAAAGAUCAUAAACUGGUACUGGUAAUGUGUUAAAUUGACAAGCUAAUUUAACAUCCUUUGAUGAUGUAUGAUAUAAUGUAAAAUAGCAAGAGCAUGAAAAAUGUGAAACAUUACCAGUUAACCAUCCAUUGCAUUUACUGGAUUGGGGUUUUAGAAGUAACCAUUCAUUAUCUGUGAGGUUACGCAUUUCCUCUAAUCUUCUCUAGUUUAGGAAUCAUUAGUGUGUUUUCUAAUGCCAAUCCUUGUUGUUGUAUCCAUAAAUACCUGAUGGCACAAGUACUCCAGUUACUUAGACCUCUAGUGAAUUUCAUAGUUGCAACAGUUAAAUUAUCUAAAUAAUUAUACAUUGAUUUAUCUAAAUCCAAUCCUAUAACCUGUGAUUUAACAACAAUUGGAGCCCAAUUUGCAGUAGCAUGAAAACCAGUCCCUAUAUGCAUGCUGGCUGUGUUUAACUUAUUCUUGAGGGUCUCCAUAUCUAUAACUAUUUAGUAUACCCAUAGUGGUUCCAGCACCAUCUAACAGUGUGUCAUACCAUUCCCUUUUCUGCCUUUGUUUGUUGUAUUACAUAAUGUUACAACAAGAGUAGUGACUUUUAAUGACACAUGUACAGCUUGUAAGAAGGCAGUUGUAUUAACACAUGUGGACGGAAUAGGUGUGUGUGUGUGUCGUGUUUGACUUUUGGUUCUAUGAUAGUGGAUGAAGGACAGUAAUAAGGUGUAAAAAUAUAAGGUAGUGUAUAGUUCUCAAUUGCAGUGUCGUUCAUAAUGACUAACAUUUGUCCCCUUUUCCAAUUAAUGAUACCAGUUAUAUAAUCAUUAUUAAAAGUAAUAAGGCCUGUCUGUUUACAUUGAUAUGCAACCUUAACUGUGCACAUUUCUGCGUUAUAAGAUCUAACAAUUUUCUGUGAACCUUUAAACAAACAUAAUGCAUCGGUUUCAUUAGCUGUAGACACAUUUCAUAUGGGUAACUGGUACUUAUAAGGGUUACUAUUUGUCCAAUUCAUCCAAAUGCGUUCAUUGAAUGAAUGAUUGCAUAUUGCAUGCUGAUAGAAAGGUGGUGGAGAAAGGUUCUUGAGGGGGCGUGUGUGACGAAUGCUAGAUGAGGGGCUAAGGCCUAAUUGGGCUGGGGGUAUUGAAGAAUUGUUCAUCAUGUCAGAGUCUUUUUCCAGAACUUGCCAUUGACUUGUACUCAUAAUGGCAUUCAAGGAACAAUAUCAGAGGGAGUAUAACAACUCCAGAAAGCAUAGCGCACAACAUAAUCUUGGUCUCAGGUACGUAUGAUCCUCUCAAUCUACGAUAUGGUGUAAAAGCCAUGAUGCUUCGCUGAGGAGAAAUUCUUCUGUUUCCGAGCGAGGAGUGGUGUUGUCUUCCUUGGUUCCCCUCUUUGGACACAGCUUCACUCGGGAUGCGUGAAUCCAGAUGUCGUGGGAAUCUGUGAGGACAGCGGUUCUGGGUACAGCAAUCACAGUAGCAGGUGGUCCAAAAGGGUAUCCUCCUUUCUUGGUCCUGUUCAACUGACGGAUAUACACCUUGUCACCGGGCUGGUAUGAAUGAGUAGGUUCCUGUGAAGGUAAGGGAAAACUGCGAAGAAACAUUGUCAUACAUACCAUUCGGUUUUAUCAACAAUUCCUGUACAUAUUGUUCUUGUAUUAGCUUUAAAUCCCCAGACAUUAUAACAAGCAGUUCCCUGGCCCAGGGUGUGGGAAAAGGUCAUCCCAUCAAAAUCUCAAAUGGAGAUAAUUUAGUCACCUUGUGGGGAUUCAUUCUUAUCUCAGCUAAAAUAGCUGGUAGAUAUCUAGUCCAAUUUACCCAUGUUCCUGGGUAAAUUCUGGGCUUUUCCUUAAUAGUCCUAUUCAUCCUUUCAACUACCCCUGUAUUCUGUGGAUGAUAGGGUAUAUGAAACUGCCAGGUAACUUGCAAGAAUUUAGCAAGUUCCUGGGCAACCCUACUGGCAAAAACCGGGCCAUUAUCAGAGCCAAUCUGCAGAGGGCAGCCAUACCUGGGAAUAAUUUCAGUAACAAUAAUCUUCACUAGCAUCUUCCCUAGAUGUCACAAAGGCCUCAUGCCAUCUACUAAACUGAUCAACUAUGACCAGUAAGUAUUGCUGUUUCUUACCAAUUUUGGAUACAUGAAUAAAAUCAA